CAGCAGCCACGGGAAUGCGUAGGGUGCAAGCGUUGAUCGGAAUUACUGGGCGUAAAGCGUGCGCAGGCGGUUCGUUAAGACAGAUGUGAAAUCCCCGGGCUUAACCUGGGAACUGCAUUUGUGACUGGCGGGCUAGUAUGGCAGAGGGGGGUAGAAUUCCACGUGUAGCAGUGAAAUGCGUAGAGAUGUGGAGGAAUACCGAUGGCGAAGGCAGCCCCCUGGGCCAAUACUGACGCUCAUGCACGAAAGCGUGGGGAGCAAACAGGAUUAGAUACCCGUGGUCCCUGUCUCUUAUACACAU
rnacentral:rRNA from 1 species